rnacentral:rRNA from 1 species
UGGGGAAUAUUGCACAAUGGGGGAAACCCUGAUGCAGCGACGCCGCGUGAGCGAUGAAGGCUUUCGAGUCGUAAAGCUCUGUCCUAUGGGAAGAUAAUGACGGUACCAUAGAAGAAAGCCCCGGCUAAUUCCGUGCCAGCAGCCGCGGUAAUACGGAAGGUUCGGGCGUUAUCCGGAUUUAUUGGGUUUAAAGGGAGCGUAGGCCGUUUGGUAAGCGUGUUGUGAAAUGUAGGAGCUCAACUUCUAGAUUGCAGCGCGAACUGUCAGACUUGAGUGCGCACAACGUAGGCGGAAUUCAUGGUGUAGCGGUGAAAUGCUUAGAUAUCAUGAAGAACUCCGAUUGCGAAGGCAGCUUACGGGAGCGCAACUGACGCUGAAGCUCGAAGGUGCGGGUAUCGAACAGG